GUGGAUUAGAUACCCUGGUAGUCCACGCCGUAAACGAUGGAAGCUAGCCGUUGGUGGGUUUACUCAUCAGUGGCGCAGCUAACGCAUUAAGCUUCCCGCCUGGGGAGUACGGUCGCAAGAUUAAAACUCAAAGGAAUUGACUGGGGCCCGCACAAGCGGUGGAGCAUGUGGUUCAAUUCGAAGCAACGCGAAGAACCUUACCAGCCUUUGACAUGCCCCGUAUGGUCGUCAGAGAUGACUUCCUUCCCGCAAGGGGCGGGAGCACAGGUGCUGCAUGGUUGUCGACAGCU
rnacentral:rRNA from 1 species